rnacentral:miRNA from 1 species
UUUCUUCUACUUCUUCUUCUUCUUCUUCUUUUUCUUCAAGAAGAAGAAGAGGAGGAGGAGGAGGAGAAGAAGAAGAAG